CUUAUUCCGAGGAGACUUUCCUGGGCCUGACUCCCGGACCUGUCCCCAGCGCCUCGCGGCCUCUCGAGCCCCUUCAGUGACCAAGAUGCAGAGAUCAGGACGCCAUUGCACCACCCCAGGUGCCCGCCUCUAGCUGGCUCCGCCUGGGCCCCGAGGGAAGGUGAGGUCGGGGGGGCCGGGCCAGGGCGUGGCAGCCAGGGUGUUUGUCCGCCGGGCUUGCUGCCUCUGGUGGCCCGGCAGCACCGUCCCACCUCUGCCACCCUCCGAUGGGGCCGCUACCUGCGUGCCUGCCAAUCAUGCUGCUCCUGCUGCUGCUGCUGCUGCUGCUGCUUGGACCUGGCCCCAGGUCUGGCGAGGGGUCUGGCGCUGUCGCCCAGGUUGGAAUACAGCGGUGCAAUCUCAACUCACUGCAAACUCCGCCUCCCAGGUUCAAGCAAUUCUCCUGCCUCAGUCUCCUGAGUAGCUGAGAUUACAGAUGCCUGCCACCACACGCAGCUAAUUGGUUGGGUGUGGUGGGGCUUUCCAAUGAUUACUUAUUAAUGAUUACUUAUGAAAAACAACAACAAAAAAGCCAUCUUGAAGCUGCUUUUAAUGAGAGAACAAAUGUGCUCCCAAGCAACAGAGCAGCGAAAUUCUUUAUUACUGGAUUCUAACUUUCCUCUCUAACUGUAACUGUCUCAGCUCCACCUCAUGUGACUUGGAGGGUAUGUUGCAACCUGCGUCUUCACCACCCAUUCAUGAAGAUCUAUAAAACUAAUGUAAACUGCUGGGGCAAUUUCAACAUGAGUCAACUGGAGAUUGUUACUUGGUGAGAAUGCGCAAGUGGCAAAGAUCUAAAUUUGUUCAGCUAAUUUGUAAUUAACCUUCGCUUCUCACAUGUCAGUAUGUGAAGUGUCUGGUUUAAGCAAUUUAUCCAAAAAAGCCAUAGACUCUUUAAAUAACAACAAAACCUGGGCCUGGAAUUUUAUAAAGGCAGAAUGAGUAAGACACGGUUUCGGUGUGCUUUUUUAAAGAAAACAGGGUCUUGCUCUGUUGCCCAGGAUGAAAUGCCAUGCUGCAUUUACAGCUCACUGCAGCCUUGACCUCCCACCUCAGCUUCCAGAGGAGCUGGGAUUACAGGUGUGCACCACCACGCCCAGCUAAUUUAAAAAAUUUUUGUAGAAACAGGGUGUCACUGUGUUGCCCAGGCUGGUCUCCAGCAAUCCUCUGGCCUUGACCCCCUACAGUGUGGGGAUUACACCCAUGAGCGACUUGCCACUUACUAUCACUAUCUGACUGUGACCUGGAACCAGAAAGGAGAUUCCGAGAGUGUGCUCAAUCAAUCACAAACUGACCUUUUUCAUGGGUUUCUUGAACUCCUGUAGCUCUUCAGCACUCAUGUCUUCCCAUACCUGAUAAAUAGGAUCAAUGAAUUUCUUUGACCUGUCAACAAAGAUCACAUUUCAAAGUCAAGUUAAAUACUUCAGCAGAAGUCAAAAUUGGUUUGGAUCUUUUCUCACAAGAUCUAUUACCCAAAACCAAGAAGUGAAAACUACAGCUUAAAUAAUUACAUUUAAAAAAACCUGGCUGGGCGCAGUGGCUCACGCCUGUAAUCCCAGCACUUUGGGAGGCUGAGGUGGGCAGAUCAUGAGGUCAGGAGAUCGAGACCAUCCUGGCUAACACGGUGAAACCCCAUCUCUACUAAAAAUACAAAAAAUUAGCCGGGUGUGGUGGCGGACGCCUGUAGUCCCAGCUACUCAGGAGGCUGAGGCAGAAUGGCCUGAACCUGGGAGGCAGAGCUUGCAGCGAGCCGAUAUCAUGCCACUGCACUCCAGCCUGGGCGACAGAGCGAGACUGUCUC
rnacentral:lncRNA from 1 species